rnacentral:rRNA from 1 species
GAUGAACGCUGGCGGCGUGCUUAACACAUGCAAGUCGAACGGGAGAUGCACAGGGAAGAGAUUUCGGUCGAAUCCAGUGUAUCUUUAGUGGCGGACGGGUGAGUAACGCGUGGGUAACCUGCCAUAUACUGGGGGAUAACACUUAGAAAUAGGUGCUAAUACCGCAUAAGCGCACGGUCCCGCAUGGGACAGUGUGAAAAACUCCGGUGGUAUAUGAUGGACCCGCGUCUGAUUAGCUGGUUGGCGGGGUAACGGCCCACCAAGGCGACGAUCAGUAGCCGGCCUGAGAGGGUGGACGGCCACAUUGGGACUGAGACACGGCCCAA